CAGCCAUUCUUCCUUAUCUAGUUCUAUUUCUAGCUAAUGUAAAUCUGCUUUAGGAAGUCGGCUAUCUAAACGGCCUUGCGAAAGGCAGGUACUUUUUCGUCUGCGAAUUCGGAUGGAAACCUGACCUUUCUUCCGAAAACCAUCUCGUGUGGAGUUACACCUGUGGACUCGUGAACGGCGGUGUUGAAUGAAAAAAUGGCAAACGGCAACCACUGGUCCCAGUUACUACGCUCACUAUAGUUUCUCAGGUACGAGGGAUUAAUAAUGGAAUUGUCUACGAGCUCACGACCUAGAGGUGUAGUGAGUACCCCGUCACAUGAAACAUAAUUAAGGAUAUGGUCAUCUCUCAUCCACACCUCAUCUUUACUAAGCUGAAACA